AAGUCGAACGCGAAAGCCGCCUUCGGGCGGCGAGUAGAGUGGCGCACGGGUGAGUAACACGUAGACAACCUGCCUUCCAGUUCGGGACAACCUCUUGAAAGAGGGGCUAAUACCGGAUAACACCCCUGGCCGCAUGGCCGGGGGUUGAAAGGCUUGCUGCUGGAAGAGGGGUCUGCGGGACAUUAGCUUGUUGGUGGGGUAAAGGCCCACCAAGGCUGCGAUGUCUAGCGGGUCUGAGAGGAUGAUCCGUCACACUGGAACUGAGACACGGUCCAGACUCCUACGGGAGGCAGCAGUGGGGAAUUUUGCGCAAUGGGCGAAAGCCUGACGCAGCAACGCCGCGUGAGUGAAGAAGGCUUUUGGGUCGUAAAGCUCUUUUCUGAGGGAAGAGCAAAGACGGUACCUCAGGAAUAAGCACCGGCUAACUCCGUGCCAGCAGCCGCGGUAAUACGGAGGGUGCAAGCGUUGUUCGGAUUUACUGGGCGUAAAGGGCGUGUAGGCGGAUAUGUAAGCUGGAGGUGAAAGCCCCGGGCUCAACCCGGGAACUGCUUUGCAGAACUGCAUGUCUAGAGAAAGUCAGAGGCAGGUGGAAUUCCUGGUGUAGAGGUGAAAUUCGUAGAGAUCAGGAGGAACACCGGCGGCGAAGGC
rnacentral:rRNA from 1 species